rnacentral:rRNA from 1 species
CUGAGGCGUGACGACGAGGCACUACGGUGCUGAAGCAACAAAUGCCCUGCUUCCAGGAAAAGCCUCUAAGCAUCAGGUAACAUCAAAUCGUACCCCAAACCGACACAGGUGGUCAGGUAGAGAAUACCAAGGCGCUUGAGAGAACUCGGGUGAAGGAACUAGGCAAAAUGGUGCCGUAACUUCGGGAGAAGGCACGCUGACACGUAGGUGAAGUGAUUUACUCAUGGAGCUGAAGUCAGUCGAAGAUACCAGCUGGCUGCAACUGUUUAUUAAAAACACAGCACUGUGCAAACACGAAAGUGGACGUAUACGGUGUGACGCCUGCCCGGUGCCGGAAGGUUAAUUGAUGGGGUCAGCGCAAGCGAAGCUCCUGAUCGAAGCCCCGGUAAACGGCGGCCGUAACUAUAACGGUCCUAAGGUAGCGAAAUUCCUUGUCGGGUAAGUUCCGACCUGCACGAAUGGCGUAAUGAUGGCCAGGCUGUCUCCACCCGAGACUCAGUGAAAUUGAACUCGCUGUGAAGAUGCAGUGUACCCGCGGCAAGACGGAAAGACCCCGUGAACCUUUACUAUAGCUUGACACUGAACAUUGAGCCUUGAUGUGUAGGAUAGGUGGGAGGCUUUGAAGUGUGGACGCCAGUCUGCAUGGAGCCGACCUUGAAAUACCACCCUUUAAUGUUUGAUGUUCUAACGUGGACCCGUAAUCCGGGUUGCGGACAGUGUCUGGUGGGUAGUUUGACUGGGGCGGUCUCCUCCUAAAGAGUAACGGAGGAGCACGAAGGUUGGCUAAUCCUGGUCGGACAUCAGGAGGUUAGUGCAAUGGCAUAAGCCAGCUUGACUGCGAGCGUGACGGCGCGAGCAGGUGCGAAAGCAGGUCAUAGUGAUCCGGUGGUUCUGAAUGGAAGGGCCAUCGCUCAACGGAUAAAAGGUACUCCGGGGAUAACAGGCUGAUACCGCCCAAGAGUUCAUAUCGACGGCGGUGUUUGGCACCUCGAUGUCGGCUCAUCACAUCCUGGGGCUGAAGUAGGUCCCAAGGGUAUGGCUGUUCGCCAUUUAAAGUGGUACGCGAGCUGGGUUUAGAACGUCGUGAGACAGUUCGGUCCCUAUCUGCCGUGGGCGCUGGAGAACUGAGGGGGGCUGCUCCUAGUACGAGAGGACCGGAGUGGACGCAUCACUGGUGUUCGGGUUGUCAUGCCAAUGGCACUGCCCGGUAGCUAAAUGCGGAAGAGAUAAGUGCUGAAAGCAUCUAAGCACGAAACUUGCCCCGAGAUGAGUUCUCCCUGAGACUUUAAGUCUCCUGAAGGAACGUUGAAGACGACGACGUUGAUAGGCCGGG